CGAUGACUUCUGUGCUUGCACAGAAUGAUUAGUGGCGAACGGGUGAGUAACACGUGAGUAACCUGCCCUUAACUUCGGGAUAAGCCUGGGAAACCGGGUCUAAUACCGGAUACGACCUCCUGGCGCAUGCCAUGGUGGUGGAAAGCUUUAGCGGUUUUGGAUGGACUCGCGGCCUAUCAGCUUGUUGGUUGGGGUAAUGGCCCACCAAGGCGACGACGGGUAGCCGGCCUGAGAGGGUGACCGGCCACACUGGGACUGAGACACGGCCCAGACUCCUACGGGAGGCAGCAGUGGGGAAUAUUGCACAAUGGGCGAAAGCCUGAUGCAGCGACGCCGCGUGAGGGAUGACGGCCUUCGGGUUGUAAACCUCUUUC
rnacentral:rRNA from 1 species